AGUAUCUCAUCUCGCCGCCCGUCGCGAGGCGGACGGAGGGAUGGAUGAGGUUACCUGGAAAAAAUCGGGGCGAUCUAGGCGGGGCGAACCUCGCCAACGAACGAUCGGACAUGGGAUAACGGAAGAGGGCGUCGGCUCGGAACUUCGUCGGGUUCCUCGGGGCCCGAGGCACGUACCGGUGAAUAGGGACGGUCGGGGCCGCCCGUACCGGGUCGUGAGAGGUGAAAAUUCUAGGAUCGACCCGAGACGAACCGCCGCGAAAGCAUUCGGCAAGGACGCUUUCAUUAAUCAAGAACGAAAUCGGGGGAUCGAAGACGAUCAGAUACCGUCGUAGUCCCGACCGUAAACGAUGCCGACCGAGGGCCCGGAGGAGUUACGUACGACCCUCCGGGCCCUCCCGCGAGAAAUCAGGAGUAUUCGGGUUCCGGGGGG
rnacentral:rRNA from 1 species